UACGUAGGGAGCAAGCGUUGUCCGGAAUCAUUGGGCGUAAAGCGCGCGUAGGUGGCUUCGUAAGUCCGUUGUGAAAGUCAAAGGCUCAACCUUUGAAAGCCGAUGGAUACUGCGGAGCUAGAGUACGGAAGAGGCGAGUGGAAUUCCUGGUGUAGCGGUGGAAUGCGCAGAUAUCAGGAGGAACACCAAUAGCGAAGGCAGCUCGCUGGGACGUUACUGGACACUGAGGCGCGAAAGCGUGGGGAGCGAACAGG
rnacentral:rRNA from 1 species